GUUCCGGUAAAAUGUGGUGAAGCGUGAAACCAACAGUCUGUUCUAUGGCCGCCAGCCCAGCACUACAGGCAGCAGCAGCAGGAAUGUGAGACUGAGGUCAGGAAUCAGUCCUGGAGAGCUGGUGUGAGAGACAAGCACCUGUGGUUCACUUUUACUGGGAGAGCAAAACCCUCAGCCUGACAAAUGGAGUUUGGGAACCCCUGCUCUGGACGACGCACAUUAGUCAAAGUGAAACCUUGCAGCAGAAACAGAUGAACGGAUGCUUGAAUGCGUGUCAUAUAGAGGUGAGAUGCAGGAUAUUUGUGGUCAGACCUGCAAGAACACGACACAAUCAUCGCUGUGGCUGAAGAGUAAAGGACGCGGCCUGGUUCACAACAGAGGAGCAACCAUCAACAAAAAGAGCCAGUAAUUGGUGAUGUGACACACACACACACACACACGGUGGUGCAGCCUCAGGGGAGAGCGGCGGAAACUAAAGCUGUGACCCAAUUAACGUCCUCUGGUGUGGUUUUUUAUUUCACCUGAACUUUCUUGGCAAAUUAAAGUGCUGAUCCUCUGGGAU